rnacentral:rRNA from 1 species
AACGAACGCUGGCGGCAGGCCUAACACAUGCAAGUCGAACGCUCGUAGCAAUACGGGAGUGGCAGACGGGUGCGUAACACGUGGGAACAUACCCUUUGGUUCGGAAUAACUCAGGGAAACUUGAGCUAAUACCGGAUACGCCCGAGAGGGGAAAGAUUUAUUGCCGAAGGAUUGGCCCGCGUCUGAUUAGCUAGUUGGUGAGGUAACGGCUCACCAAGGCGACGAUCAGUAGCUGGUCUGAGAGGAUGAUCAGCCACACUGGGACUGAGACACGGCCCAGACUCCUACGGGAGGCAGCAGUGGGGAAUAUUGGACAAUGGGCGCAAGCCUGAUCCAGCCAUGCCGCGUGAGUGAUGACGGCCUUAGGGUUGUAAAGCUCUUUUACCUGGGAAGAUAAUGACGGUACCAGGAGAAUAAGCCCCGGCUAACUCCGUG